rnacentral:rRNA from 1 species
AGAGUUGAUCCUGGCUCAGAACGAACGCUGGUAGCGUGGAUUAGGCAUGCAAGUCGGACGGGAGUCCGGAAGGUAGCAAUACCGGCCGGUGAGAGUGGCGGACUGGGGAGGAACACGUGAGCACUGCCGCAGGACGGGAAAACCGUUGGAAACGACGGCUAAUACCGGAUGCGGCGCCUUGGGACAUCCCGAGGCGCCAAAGGGGGCCCCAAAGGCUCCCGCCCGCGGAGAGGCUCGCGCACCAUCAGCUUGUUGGCGGGGUAACGGCCCACCAAGGCCUACGGUUAGCUGGUCUGAGAGGAUGACCAGCCCCACUGGGACUGAGACACUGCCCAGACUCCUACGGGAGGCUGCAGUCGAGGAUCAUUUGCAAUGGGCGAAAGCCUGACAAUGCGACGCCUGCGUGGAGGAUGAAGGCCUUCGGGUUGUAAACUCCUGUCAUGGGGGAACAGGCGAGGGGGCCCAACACGUCCCUUAGUUGAGUGUACCCCAAGAGGAAGGGACGGCUAACUCUGUGCCAGCCGCCGC